CCUACGGGAGGCAGCAGUGAGGAAUAUUGGUCAAUGGACGGAAGUCUGAACCAGCCAAGUAGCGUGAAGGAUGACUGCCCUAUGGGUUGUAAACUUCUUUUGUAUGGGAGUAAAGCUUUCUACGUGUAUGCCUCUGUAUGUACCGUAUGAAUAAGGAUCGGCUAACUCCGUGCCAGCAGCCGCGGUAAUACGGAGGAUCCGAGCGUUAUCCGGAUUUAUUGGGUUUAAAGGGUGCGUAGGUGGAUUGGUAAGUCAGUUGUGAAAGUUUGCGGCUCAACCCGAAAAUUGCAGUUGAUACUGGCGGUCUAGAGUACAGUAGAGGUGGGCGGAAUGCGUGGUGUAGCGGUGAAAUGCUUAGAUAUCACGAAGAACUCCGAUUGCGAAGGCAGCUUACUGGACUGUAACUGACGCUGAGGCACGAAAGUGUGGGUAUCAAACAGGAUUAGAUACCCCUGUAGUC
rnacentral:rRNA from 1 species